GCAUGUGGCUUAAUUCGACGCAACGCGAAGAACCUUACCAAGGCUUGACAUACACCGGAAAGCAUUAGAGAUAGUGCCCCCCUUGUGGUCGGUGUACAGGUGGUGCAUGGCUGUCGUCAGCUCGUGUCGUGAGAUGUUGGGUUAAGUCCCGCAACGAGCGCAACCCUUGUCCCGUGUUGCCAGCAGGCCCUUGUGGUGCUGGGGACUCACGGGAGACCGCCGGGGUCAACUCGGAGGAAGGUGGGGACGACGUCAAGUCAUCAUGCCCCUUAUGUCUUGGGCUGCACACGUGCUACAAUGGCCGGUACAAUGAGCUGCGAUACCGUGAGGUGGAGCGAAUCUCAAAAAGCCGGUCUCAGUUCGGAUUGGGGUCUGCAACUCGACCCCAUGAAGUCGGAGUCGCUAGUAAUCGCAGAUCAGCUAUUGCUGCGGUGAAUACGUUCCCGGGCCUUGUACACACCGCCCGUCACGUCACGAAAGUCGGUAACACCCGAAGCCGGUGGCCCAACCCCUUGUGGGAGGGAGCUGUCGAAGGUGGGACUGGCGAUUGGGGGACUUGCUGGAGCACGAAGAUCAGAGCUGACACCGG
rnacentral:rRNA from 1 species